AAUAUGGUUUCUAUAAUCUAUAUUAAUAUACUGAGGUUAUUUGAGGGAGAAACAGAACGGAGGAGAAACCCAUUUCAGCCAUGAAGGACGAUUACGAGAUCGAAGAAAAGAAGCAAGCUGCUGCAGAUGUUUUGUUUCAAUAUUCAAAUUUUGUUAUGGCCUGUAUUGGUAAUCAAGUUCGGCCUUGUGACUUGAGACUGCAUUUGAUGAAGGAAGUUUCAGGACUGCCUACUUCUUUGAAGCGCGAACACCAUCCAACAUCUUCUCCUGAUGUAAUGGGAGAGUCCUCAAGCUCAGGUAUCUCAAGACUGGACAAAGCAGACAGUUUCCGAGGUCCUUAGAUUUGUGAAGUGCAUUGUUCGCUAUGUUUCUAGUUUGCUGUCUGGAAAAAUAUACUAUCAGUUGCUGUACUGCUUGAGGCAUGUAGGAUCUUGUUCAUUUUGUCAGGGUCUUCGGUUAUGCAAUCUCUGUCGCAUUUAUGUUUUUUAAGACAAUUAUUUCUUUCAUCAUGACAUGAGCACACACAUUUUAGUUCUUCUUGAUCACUAUUACUCAACUUCCAAUUGCAAGUCA